AUGAGAUCAGCUCAGCUGUACCGGGAAAAGAAGCUUUCAGUGGGUCUUAUCACUGGUCAGAUGCAAGAUUUUCCUUCUUGGAAAGGCAAAGGAGUGGAUGUGCUGGAACAACCAGCCUGCUCUGAUCAAUUUGCACAAUACACAGUGAAGGGAGCCGAGGAGUGGAGAGAGUCUCUCCAUCACAGAUGCUUAGCACCAGUUGGAGGGCAUGUGGUCCCCACUCUGUGUCUUCCCUCUAAUGGGAAAGAUCUUUAUAAUCUCUGCCUCAUCAAAUAGAACUCCUCAUCCUCAACAUCACAGUCAUGAUUCUGCCUUCCCGCCCUGGCUCGGGAAUUCCUCCAGCUCACCUCACCAAAAGGUCUCUCUUGUCUCACAGCUGCAGAGCAUUCCAGAGACACUGGCCCAAAACAACCCUUCGGCUUGCUACCAGUAACUCUGGAAGGAAAUCUCAACAGCACUGUCCCACGUGCUACAAUUUGGCCUUGAAAAGCAUCAUUGAUUUCCGAGUGCCCCUGAGUACUCUUGUUUCUGUCAGAAGCAGUGAUUGCUGUGGAUUCGCUGUAUUCACGUCAUCUGGCUUUUGAGGUGAGCCUGAGAGCUGGGAUAUUAACUUAUUUGUUGGUCCCAUACAAUACAGCGUCCAACCCAACACCCAGGAACAGGAGAGGAGGAGAACCUUUGUUUUUUAAAAGGUAGGAGCAGUUGCUGUGCAGUCUUGGUUAUACAAGGGAUUGUAUCCAGCUUCUUUGGUCUGCAGCAUGCUGACCGUGCAGAGCUUGAGAAAGGACGAGAGAUUGCAAUCCCACAGCAGAUCUAUACAGCCCCUCUCAAUGGCAUGGAAUCUUUUCCAUGCAGCCAUUCAGGAGCAUGUCAGUGGAUACCAACCUCUCUCACGUGACAAGGGUAUUUAACUGUCAGUAAGUCUGACCUAUGUCAGGUGACUUUGGCCAGGAAAUAAAGUUCUGUCUCUUAUCAA